rnacentral:rRNA from 1 species
CCCUUAGAUGUUCUGGGCCGCACGCGCGCUACACUGAUACAAUCAACAAGUGCCUUUUGCCGACGGGUGAAGAGGACUCUUGUGAGUUUGUAUCGUGAUGGGAACAAACGAUUGCAAUUAUUCGUUUCGAACGAGGAAUUCCUAGUAAGCGCGAGUCAUCAGCUUGUGCUGAUUACGUCCCUGCCCUUUGUACACACCGCCCGUCGCUCCUACCGAUUGGAUGAUCCGGUGAGCUGGCCGGACAGGCGGACUGCAUCUGAUGCUCUUCGCUUGGAAGGCUCGCAAACCUUAUCAUUUAGAGGAAGGAGAAGUCGUAACA